rnacentral:lncRNA from 12 species
AAGCACAGGCCAAACUGCUUAAAAUUGAACCCAUUAUUUACACAGCUACAAAGAGCCUCAAAGGAAACGGAAUAUAUAGCUUUGAAAAGCCUCCACUGUCUAAGUCAGGGCUCUACUAGGAAAAAAAAAAAAGAUCCUGGAGAUUUCUAUCUUCUAUGUAGGAAUAUUUGACUGGCUGAGCCUGAAACUCAUGUGCUCCUUACAUCAUCUGAAUCUUCCUGGCCAGGAAGAACAGUCCUCUUCACUUUGAGUGAGCAGAGUGGCCUCUUUUCUCCUAAAGGCGUACCCUUACUGGAGAUUCUUGUUCUCUUUGGAUUCUAAAUUUUUACCCCUAGUGUUUCCAGCUUGGUAACCACAGCAAAGUCUUUGCAGAACCGGAGCUCUGAGAGGAAUAGCCCACAUGCUGAAAGAAUUUCAGGACCUAACCAAAAGAAUUCAUCUGCCGUUGGAAAAGGCCUCUGCCACAGAGCAUCAGUCACCUACAAUGAAUCCUAAAUCAAAAUUGGAAAAGAAAGAAGAAAGCUGAGUCAGAACAGAGUGACAAACUCAAUAACCAGUGAAGCAACAAGAAGUUCAAAUAUGCUAAUCCAGGUGGCGGAAAAGUUCUGGUAGGCAUAAUUCUAAGAUCCUCAAUGAUCCACGAC